AUUCCCAUAAUUGGAGGACAAGGAGGAGUCAAACCAGCUAAAUACGGUGUCCCAGGUACUGGAUUGGGUGGAACUGGCGUGGCAGGUGUUGGAGGAGGAUACGGAGUCCCUGGACUUGGUGGAGGAGCCGGUUACGGAGCUGGUGGCGGAGCUGGAGGUCUGAUCCCUG